rnacentral:rRNA from 1 species
UACGUAGGGGGCAAGCGUUGUCCGGAAUCAUUGGGCGUAAAGCGCGUGUAGGCGGCUUGGUAAGUCUGCUCUGAAAGCCCGGGGCUCAACCCCGGGAGGCGGGUGGAUACUGUCAAGCUCGAGUCCGGAAGAGGAGAGUGGAAUUCCUGGUGUAGCGGUGAAAUGCGCAGAUAUCAGGAAGAACACCCGUGGCGAAGGCGGCUCUCUGGGACGGUACUGACGCUGAGACGCGAAAGCGUGGGGAGCGAACAGG